AGUACCCCUCUCUCUCUCCUCCCACUUUCCCCAAAGUACAGUAACGAAAGGCCUGAAAAUUUCUAGCCGGCUCCAUUGAAAUCUCCAUUUCCACCCAUUUCUCGAAAAUUUUCAACUUCCCUAGCCACCCAUUUUGAGUCCCAAAAGGAAGAAAGCAACCUCCGGCCAACACAUGCUUGAAGUACUCCGGCUGCAAGCGAGCUCAAGAGCACUCGAUGUUCAUCUUUACGGAGUCCACAAAUCUCCUUCGAAGUCAUCUUAGUCCCAUCUAAUCUGUUGUGGUGGUUGGAGAGCUGGUUUUUUCAGUUCGAGAUCUAGUUGUGACUGUUUGUGACCAAUUUUGUAUUGAUUGUGACAGGUUGUGACUUGAGAUUGAUCUGAUCAUAGAAAGUCACAAUGAAUACAAAUUUGGUCACAAUUAGUUACAUCGAAAGCAAAGUUGGUCGUGGUGAUCUCAGAUAACAUAAGUCAGUGAAUUGGUCACAUAUAAUACAGGUCAUUGCCAAAAAAAGAAGAAAAAAGGUAGUCGUCGGAAAAGUGACCUGUCAUCGGAAUUUUCGUCGAACGAUUGUCGGAGCAUCGUUGGGAGGUCGUCAGAUUGUCUCCAGAGCAGUCGUCGGAAUUGUUGUUGGAGCCGUCACCGGAGAAGUCGCUAGAAUUGGGGUGGGGUGUGGUGGGGUGGGUUGGAGAGAGAAAUAGAAGAGUUUGAUGUGAUGGGUGGGUGGAGUUGAAAGUGAGGUGAGGUGGGAAAGUAAAUUAAUUAUACUAUAUUAAAAUUAAUAUUUAAUAAAUUUAA